CUCGUAGGCGGCUUGUCGCGUCGGCUGUGAAAACCUGGGGCUCAACUCCGGGCCUGCAGCCGAUACGGGCAAGCUAGAAUUCGGUAGGGGAGACUGGAAUUCCUGGUGUAGCGGUGAAAUGCGCAGAUAUCAGGAGGAACACCGGUGGCGAAGGCGGGUCUCUGGGCCGAAAUUGACGCUGAGGAGCGAAAGCGUGGGGAGCGAACA
rnacentral:rRNA from 1 species